UACGUGAGGGUGCGAGCGUUUAAUCGGAAUUACUGGGCGUAAAGCGUGCGCAGGCGGUUUUGUAAGACAGGCGUACGAAAUCCCCGAGCUCAACUUGGGAAUGGCGCUUGUGACUGCAAGGCUAGAGUAUGUCAGAGGGGGUAGAAUUCACGUGAUAGCAGUGAAAUGCGUAGAUAUCUGGAGGAACACCGGUGGCGAAGGCGGCAUCCUGGACCGGUAUUGACGCUGAGG
rnacentral:rRNA from 1 species